GUGUGCCCUGGCAGCACUGUGCCACAAUCCGCAUGUGUUUGCUUACUGCAGAACAUGGCAUGCAUUUAUUUCUGCGUGACUGAUUAAAUGAGGAUAAAAUGUGUUUUCUCUACAGCUUCCUGCUUUGACACUCCGGGGACACAGGAUUUACUAUCAGACAGAGCCGGGCGUUGAGAUGCCUUAUGGUUUGGGAAGUCCAAGGUGCCAGUUUGCAUUUAUCUCAAGGAGACAAGACACACUUUAAAGAAAAUCUGCAGCUCAGCCAGGACAUUCGGGUGCAAACACACCAGCCAGACUGUGGAGCAAGUGGACAGCCAGAAUCAAGACAGAUGGAGGGAGAAUACCUCAAAGGGAUUUAAACAGGAGCCAGACACCUCUCAGCCACAAGCAGCCCCUCCAAUCUUCUUAGCAGCUAUUAGAUCUAUGUGACAAGUGAGAGCUUCUAAUAAAAAA